UNNCAGGUNUUNACAUCCCUNUGANCGUCCUAGAGAUAGGGCNUUUCUUCGGGNCAGAGGAGACAGGUGGUGCAUGGUUGUCGUCAGCUCGUGUCGUGAGAUGUUGGGUUAAGUCCCGCAACGAGCGCAACCCUUGAUUUUAGUUGCCAGCACGUUAAGGUGGGCACUCUAGGAUGACUGCCGGUGACAAACCGGAGGAAGGUGGGGAUGACGUCAAAUCAUCAUGCCCCUUAUGACCUGGGCUACACACGUACUACAAUGGCCGAUACAACGGGAAGCGAAACCGCGAGGUGGAGCCAAUCCUAUCAAAGUCGGUCUCAGUUCGGAUUGCAGGCUGCAACUCGCCUGCAUGAAGUCGGAAUUGCUAGUAAUCGCGGAUCAGCAUGCCGCGGUGAAUACGUUCCCGGGUCUUGUACACACCGCCCGUCACACCACGAGAGUUUACAACACCCGAAGCCGG
rnacentral:rRNA from 1 species